rnacentral:rRNA from 1 species
UAGCGGAGGGGGCGAGCGUUGUCCGAAGUUACUGGGCGUAAAGCGCGCGUAGGCGGGUGGGUAAGUCCGCUGUGAAAGCCCGGAGCUCAACUCCGGAGGGUCGGUGGAUACUGCCCAUCUUGAAGGUGCUAGGGGGAGAUGGAAUUACCGGUGUAGCGGUGAAAUGCGUAGAGAUCGGUAGGAACACCAGUGGCGAAGGCGGUCUCCUGGAGCAUACUUGACGCUGAGGCGCGAAAGCUGGGGGAGCGAACGGG